UACGUAGGGUGCGAGCGUUGUCCGGAAUUAUUGGGCGUAAAGAGCUUGUAGGCGGUUUGUCGCGUCUGCCGUGAAAAUUCGAGGCUCAACCUCGAACUUGCGGUGGGUACGGGCAGACUAGAGUGUGGUAGGGGAGACUGGAAUUCCUGGUGUAGCGGUGAAAUGCGCAGAUAUCAGGAGGAACACCAGUGGCGAAGGCGGCCGGCUGGGGGUGCCCUGACGCUGAGGCGCGAAAGCGUGGGGAGCGAACCGG
rnacentral:rRNA from 1 species